rnacentral:tRNA from 3 species
CCCGCGGUAGCACAACGGUGGUGCGUCCGGCUGUAGACCGGAAGGCUGGUGGUUCGAGUCCGCCCCGCGGGA